rnacentral:misc_RNA from 1 species
CCCCCCCCACCCAGCGGCAAGUGGCUUCUCUGUCGUUCCCUCAGUUCAUCACUCUCGCUCUCGCUUGUUGCUACCGGCCAAAAAACAUUCCAUUAAAGCUGCAGUUUACGAAGCCCUCUCUCCUUCUGCAGAAUGGGAGCGGAGGUGGUGGAGAUUCCCACCGUACGUCUCUCAAAUAUCCCGCAAUCCCUCAUAGCCAAAGACCUUCUACAGUACCUCGAAUCCCAACUCGGUCCAGACUCCGUCUUCGCCAUAGAAAUCUCCACAGAGCGCAAGAACUGGAAAUCCCGAGGUUUUGGCCGUGUCCAAUUCACUUCCCUCGAGUUUAAAGAGAACGCCCGAUCCCUUUCUAUCCAAAACAAGCUCUUCUUCAAAUCUCACUACGUCAAGGUCUCUGAAACCUACGACGAUAUCAUUCCCAGGCCUAUCAAGGCCCAACACAGGCUCGAAAAUGGGGUUUUGUAUUCGGGUUUUAUGAAAGAAGAGCGUUGCUUGUGUGUGUUGGAGAGCUGGGAUGGUGUCAGGGGGUGGCUCAUGCCUGAGAGGAGGAGAGUGGAGUUUUGGGUGUGGGUAAAUAACGACUGUUAUAAAAUGGACGUAAGGUUUGAGGAUAUUUUGGAUGCUGUUGGAUGCUGUUUGGGAGGUGGCAAAGUGAAUGCACUUCUUUUGAAGCUUAGGUAUGGACCGAAGAUAUAUAAAAGAAUUUCUGGACCUGAUGUAGCUUCCAAAUUUAGUGUCGAUAGAUACCAUAUAUGCAAGGAAGAUUUUGACUUUAUUUGGGUUCGCGCUGCAGACUUUUCAUCUGUGAAAUCAAUUGGACAAGCAACUUCAUUUUGUUGGGAAAUUGAAGAAGGAUUAGAAACUUCAGAUAUUUUUACAAGUUUCCCAUAUUAUACUGAAGAUAGAAAAGAUCUAGUUUUAGAAGACGGGGAAGAAUUCCAUUCUACAUCUGAAAUAGUUCCACUUGCCAAAUGUGGACCUGACUCUAAGUUAGCUUAUGAGAUCAUUUUCCAGUUGAAUUCUCUUGUGCAUACUCAUAAAAUUAGUCUUGCUUCAGUAGAUACUGAUCUAAUUAACGUUCUCAGCAGUUUGACCAUAGAUACUGCAAUGAUGAUUCUUCAGAAGCUGCACAAGUUGUCAUUCACUUGUUAUGAUCCUCUGUCUUUUAUAAAGAAACAAUUACAUGUUCCAGGAAGAAACCUUAAGAAGCCUUCCAUGUCAUCACGCAAAAACUACACAGAUCAUAAUAUAACGAAUUGUCAUAGGGCCUUAAUUACACCAUCAAAAAUUUACUGCUUGGGUCCUGAGCUUGAAACCUCUAACUAUGUUGUAAAAAACUUUGCAUCGUAUGCUUCAGACUUUAUGAGAAUCACGUUUGUUGAAGAAGAUUGGAGUAAGCUUCCUGCAAAUGCUAUUUCCACAAGUAUCCAGCAAGGCAUUUUCGCAAAGCCUUUUAGAACUGAAAUAUAUCACAGGAUAUUGUCUAUUCUUCGAGAUGGAAUUGUGAUUGGUGCUAAAAGGUUUGAAUUUCUGGCUUUCUCAGCUAGUCAACUGCGAUCAAAUUCUGUUUGGAUGUUUGCUUCUAAUGAUGAUGUGAAGGCAGAAGGUAUUAGAGAAUGGAUGGGUUGCUUUAAUAAGAUUCGCAGUAUUUCCAAAUGUGCAGCUAGGAUGGGUCAAUUGUUCAGUGCUUCUAGGCAAACUUUUGUUGUUCCUGCGCAAGAUGUAGAAAUUAUUCCUGACAUUGAAGUUACUUCUGAUGGCAUUGGCUACUGCUUCUCUGAUGGUAUAGGCAAAAUUUCUCUUUCUUUUGCUAGGCAGGUUGCUCAAAAAUGUGGAUUGAAUCAAACCCCAUCAGCAUUUCAAAUUCGAUAUGGUGGCUAUAAAGGUGUCGUUGCUGUUGAUCGUAAUUCCUUCAGGAAGCUAUCUUUGCGUGGCAGUAUGUGUAAAUUUGAAUCAGACAAUAGGAUGCUUAAUGUCACUAAAUGGAGUGAAUCUAUGCCUUGCUAUUUAAAUCGAGAGAUAGUUUCCCUCUUGUCUACCUUGGGAGUGAAGGAUGAAAUAUUUGAGGGUUUGCAACAGCAACAAUUGCGUCUCCUGAGCAGAAUGCUGAGUAAUAGAGAGGCAGCUUUGGAUGUAUUAGAGAAUUUGACUUGGGCUAACUCCAAGAACUUUUUGGUAAAGAUGUUGCUUCAAGGUUAUGAGCCCAAUGUGGAGCCUUACCUCUCAAUGAUGCUUCAAGCUUAUCAUGAAAACCUGUUGGUGGAACUAAGAAGUAGGUGUCGAAUUUUUGUCCCAAAAGGCCGAAUCCUUAUUGGUUGCUUGGAUGAAACUAGACUUCUACAUUAUGGCCAAGUUUUUGUCCGCAUAACGAUGACCAAAGCUGAGCUGCAGAGCAUAGAUCAGAGCUUCUUCCGGAGGGUAGAUGAAAAGACAUCUAUAGUAACAGGGAAGGUGGUUGUCACUAAAAAUCCUUGUCUUCAUCCAGGAGAUGUAAGAGUGCUUGAUGCUGUCUAUGAAGUGGAAUUGGAAGAGAAGGGUUUGGUUGACUGCAUUCUUUUCCCCCAGAAAGGAGAAAGGCCUCAUCCAAAUGAAUGCUCUGGUGGUGAUCUUGAUGGUGAUCUUUAUUUCAUAUGCUGGGAUGAAAGUCUCAUUCCUUGUCAAACAGUGACACCCAUGGACUACACUGGGAGAAGACCUCGUAUAAUGGAUCAUGAAGUCACUCUAGAGGAAAUUCAGAGAUUUUUUGUUGAUUACAUGAUUAGCGAUACUCUAGGUGCAAUCUCUACUGCACAUUUGGUUCAUGCAGAUCGUGAACCAGAUAAAGCUCUGAAUUCAAAAUGCCUCCAGUUAGCAACCCUUCAUUCAAUGGCUGUGGACUUUGCAAAAACUGGAGCUGCAGCUGAGAUGCCCAGGUUUUUAAAACCAAGGGAGUUCCCCGAUUUCAUGGAGAGGUGGGACAAACCCAUGUACAUUUCUGAAGGGGUAUUAGGGAAGCUUUAUCGUGGUGUUAUGAAGUCUUAUAUUCGUAGGAACUCAGAUGACCUUUCUGCUGAUAGAGCUAUCCAGGAUGCUUAUGAUCAUGAUCUUCUGGUCGAAGGUUACGAAGCCUUCACUGAAACUGCUAAAACUCACAAAGCAAUGUACUUGGAUAGCAUGAACAGCUUACUCAACUACUAUGGAGCAGAGAAAGAGGUUGAGAUACUGACAGGCAAUUUGCGCCAGAAGUCAGUGUAUCUGCAGAGGGACAACAGGAGGUACUUUGAACUAAAAGAUCGAAUCUUGGUUUCUGCCAAAAGCUUACACAAGGAGGUCAAAGGGUGGUUCACUAGUUGCUGCCAGGAGGAUGAUCAUCAGAAAUUGGCUUCAGCAUGGUAUCAUGUUACUUAUCAUCCUAGUUACUGCCAUGAAAGUGCUAAUUGUCUGGGCUUUCCCUGGGUAGUUGGUGACAUUUUGCUUAAUAUGAAGUCUCAUAAUACCAGAAAAACCAUCCCCUAGUGUUCAACCAUGAAAGCAAAAGUUUGUUGUUUGAUCCUGCCUUAUCCAAGAAAAUGUGUGUUCCAUGUGCGUAAUGCAAGACUUGAAAAAGAC